UACGUAGGGGGCAAGCGUUGUCCGGACUUACUGGGCGUAAAGCGUGUGCAGGCGGGCCGCUAUGUGCCGUGUGAAAGCUCUCAGCUUAUCUGGGAGAGGUCGCGGUAGACAGGCAGCCUGGAGGCUCGGAGAGGUCAGUGGAAUUCUCGGUGUAGUGGUGAAAUGCGUAGAUAUCGAGAGGAACACCAGUGGCGAAGGCGGCCUUCUGGACCAGUACUGACGCUGAGGCACGAAAGCGUGGGGAGCAAACAGG
rnacentral:rRNA from 1 species